UCUCCGUAGGUGAACCUGCGGAGGGAUCAUUGAAUCUAUCAUAUUGUUUACCUGCUCACCCAGUUGUUAAGUGCCCCCGCUGCUGGCCCUCACGGGACGGCUCGGGCUCUUGUUCCUGGCCUCGCCACUGGCCGACCUUCGUUGUCGGUGAAGACUUGGCAAAGGUCUUGAGGUGCGGGACCCUGCCUCUCCUCUCGGGAGAGGGGGGCGGUCUUCACGGAUCGCCUCACCCGCUGGCCGAAACCCACCCCCCACUAACCAAACACCAAAGUGAAGCUGAAGCUUUGAGGAAACCUCCCGCAAGGAAGGCGACUCACAAACCUAGACAACUCUCAACAACGGAUAUCUUGGCUCCC
rnacentral:misc_RNA from 1 species